rnacentral:rRNA from 1 species
UACGUAGGCAGCGAGCGUUGUUCGGAGUUACUGGGCGUAAAGAGUGCGUAGGCGGUUUUCUAAGUUUGGUAUGAAAUCUCCCGCUUAACCGGGAGGGUGCGCCGAAUACUGAAUGACUAGAGUGCGGGAGAGGAGAGUGGAAUUCCUGGUGUAGCGGUGAAAUGCGCAGAUAUCAGGAAGAACACCCGUGGCGAAGGCGGCUCUCUGGGACGGUACUGACGCUGAGACGCGAAAGCGUGGGGAGCGAACAGG